rnacentral:lncRNA from 1 species
GAGACACACAGAGAGAAGAUGGCCAUGCAAAGACAGAGGCAGAAAUUGGAGUGAUGUAGCUACAAGGCAAGGGAUGCCAAUGAUUGCCAGCAACCACUAAAAGCUGGGAAGAGGCAGGGGAGGGUCCUUCUCCAGAGCCUUCAGAAGGAACAUAGCCCUGAAGACUCCGUGGUUUUGCACUUCUAGUCUUCAUAACUAAAACACAGACAUUGGAAGACGUAUGAGACUACGGAAACUAAUUUUCUCAAGGUCAACAAAUAGAGUUGGAAAAUAACGAAGGAACAAAGAAAUGCUGACAGAAAAUGAAUUUCAUACUCCAGUAGUGUUACCAAACUACAUUUCCCCAUCAUGGUAGCCUAAGCCAGGAAGUGGAGAAAAGAGAAGGAUGUCAUUAAGUGGAAAAUAAUCAGGGCAUUUUGAGAGUGGUGUUUUUGGCCGUCGAGAUAAGUCAGUCAUUCUGAGGUAUGGAUGGACAGAGAGCAAGCACUGGCAAGAACAAGAAGAGACGAAUAGGUCGGGCUCUCUCUGUGGGUAUAAAACUCUGAGCAGUUCACUUCAAUUCAUUGGAUCUUGGUGGGCCUCAGACCCACUAAUUACUAUAGUUUCUUGAGGCCUCAAGGUUCAUUUUCUAAAGAAGAACUCCGGCCACGUUCAUUUAUAGCUAUCUUUUAAAAAUACCCAAAUCUGGCUGCGCAGUGGCUCACGCCUGUAAUCCCAGCACUUUGGGAGGGUGAGGUGGGAGGAUUGCUUUAGACCAGCAUGGGCAACACAGCAAGACCCCAUCUCUACAAAAAAUAAAUAAAUAAAUAAAAAUUA